GACGAACGCUGGCGGCGUGCCUAAUACAUGCAAGUUGAGCGAUGAAGCUUGGUGCUUGCACCAAUUUGAAGAGCAGCGAACGGGUGAGUAACGCGUGGGGAAUCUGCCUUUGAGCGGGGGACAACAUUUGGAAACGAAUGCUAAUACCGCAUAACAACUUUAAACAUAAGUUUUAAGUUUGAAAGAUGCAAUUGCAUCACUCAAAGAUGAUCCCGCGCUGUAUUAGCUAGUUGGUGAGGUAAAGGCUCACCAAGGCGAUGAUACAUAGCCGACCUGAGAGGGUGAUCGGCCACAUUGGGACUGAGACACGGCCCAAACUCCUACGGGAGGCAGCAGUAGGGAAUCUUCGGCAAUGGACGAAAGUCUGACCGAGCAACGCCGCGUGAGGGAAGAAGGUUGUCGGAUCGUAAAACUCUGUUGGUAGAGAAGAACGUUGGUGAGAGUGGAAAGCUCAUCAAGUGACGGUAACUACCCAGAAAGGGACGGCUAACUACGUG
rnacentral:rRNA from 1 species